GAAAUGCGAUAAGUAAUGUGAAUUGCAGAAUUCAGUGAAUCAUCGAAUCUUUGAACGCACAUUGCGCCCUCCGGUAUUCCGGGGGGCAUGCCUGUUCGAGCGUCAUUUCACCACUCAAGCCUAGCUUGGUCUUGGGCGAUCGCGGUCCGCCGCGCGCCCCAAUGUCUCCGGCUGAGCGACCGUCUCGAAGCGUUGUGGUAACCCAAAUCGCUUGCGGAGUGCGGAAGUUUGGGCCGUUAAACACCCCCAUACAGGUUGACCUCGGAUCAGGUAGGGAUACCCGCUGAACUUAA
rnacentral:misc_RNA from 1 species